rnacentral:rRNA from 1 species
GAUGAACGCUGGCGGCGUGCUUAACACAUGCAAGUCGAGCGAGAAAAGUUCUUCGGAGCUUUUCUAGCGGCGGGCGGGUGAGUAACACGUGGGCAACCUGCCUCAUAGAGGGGAAUAGCCUUCCGAAAGGAAGAUUAAUACCGCAUAACAUUGUUGAAAGGCAUCUUUUAACAAUCAAAGGAAUAAUCCGCUAUGAGAUGGGCCCGCGGCGCAUUAGCUAGUUGGUGAGGUAACGGCUCACCAAGGCGACGAUGCGUAGCCGACCUGAGAGGGUGAUCGGCCACAUUGGAACUGAGACCCGGUCCAGACUCCUACGGGAGGCAGCAGUGGGGAAUAUUGCACAAUGGGGGAAACCUUGAUGCAGCAACGCCGCGUGAGUGAUGAAGGUCUUCGGAUUGUAAAGCUCUGUCUUUAGGGACGAUAAUGACGGUACCUAAGGAGGAAGCCACGGCUAACUACGUGCCAGCAGCCGCCGUAACAC